rnacentral:misc_RNA from 1 species
GAGAUGAAAAGAAGUACCGUAGAGUAUUAGGUAUGCCUGUAAGUGAAUUUUGUGCUCAGUUACCCUACUUUAAAAAAAAAAGAGAAAUGUUGACUAUUUUAACCCAGUAUUUUUGUAAUAAGUCCAUGUGAUAUUUUUAUUUAUCCCCCUUUUGUUGACUGUGUUACUUGUAUAUAUGUAAAUGUAUGUUAUUAUAUUCACUGUUGACUGUCACACAAACAUAGUAGUGUUUAUCAUCUCCGUCCCCAGACUGUCGGAAAUCAUGACUUUGUGAAGUUCUUAAUACUGGAUUCUUGUGUGUUUAUAAUUGCAUAAUGAAAAGGAAGUUGACUUGUUGACAUAAUUUUUUUUUUAAGAAAGGAAAAAUGUUGAUAAGAGAUUCCUAUCUGUUUAAAAGAGAAAGUCAAAAUGACUGUUAUUGUCUUGUAAAAGAAUAAAUUCUUGAAAAGG